GUCCCUAUAGCGCAAAGGAUAGCGCGUUAGAUUUCUAAUCUAAGGGUCGUGGGUUCGAAUCCCACCUAGGAUG